AACGAACGCUGGCGGCAUGCCUAACACAUGCAAGUCGAACGAGACCUUCGGGUCUAGUGGCGCACGGGUGCGUAACGCGUGGGAACCUGCCCUUAGGUUCGGAAUAACUCCCCGAAAGGGGUGCUAAUACCGGAUAAUGUCUUCGGACCAAAGAUUUAUCGCCUUUGGAUGAGCCCGCGUUGGAUUAGCUAGUUGGUAGGGUAAAAGCCUACCAAGACGACGAUCCAUAGCUGGUCUGAGAGGAUGAUCAGCCACACUGGGACUGAGACACGGCCCAGACUCCUACGGGAGGCAGCAGUGGGGAAUAUUGGACAAUGGGCGAAAGCCUGAUCCAGCAAUGCCGCGUGAGUGAUGAAGGCCUUAGGGUUGUAAAGCUCUUUUACCCGGGAUGAUAAUGACAGUACCGGGAGAAUAAGCUCCGGCUAACUCCGUG
rnacentral:rRNA from 1 species